rnacentral:tRNA from 1 species
CCAGGGGUGGCAGAGUGGUCAAUUGCACCGGUCUGUAAAACCGGCGGGUUCCCCUUCGUAGGUUCGAAUCCUACCCCCUGGACCU